CAGGGCCGCUCCGCUCCGGGGCUGCGCUGCAUGGCGGGACCGCGGCUUCGGCUGUUUGGAGAGCUGCGGUCCCGAGCCGGUCGCCUCCGGGCAGCGCUGGUGGGCGGCAGGGAAGCACCAACGUCGGGAUGUGGGGCCUGGUUCAGCCGCUGUGCUUCGCUGAAAUCGUGUUACUGAGUAGGGGUGGGACUUCGCUCGGAAAGUUAAGCGUAUCUUGACAAAGAAUCCUGGGUGCUCUUAAGGGGAAAUACAGUACAAAGUAUACUGCAACACAAGCCAACCAGCACUGUGUUCCCAUGCUGAUCCAAGGGGACCCACUCAGACCCCGUGCUCUCUGCAGGCAGUGCAUUACCAGAAGGAAGCAAAAAACCUUUCUGCUGCCGAAGGCAAUAGCUAAACUCUUAUCAGAAAAAGAAAAGAAAAGAAAAGAAAAGAAAAGAAAAGAAAAGAAAAGAAAAGAAAAGAAAAGAAAAGAAAAGAAAAGAAAAGAAAAGAAAAGAAAAGAAAAGAAAAGAAAAGAAAAGAAAAGAAAAGAAAAGAAAAGAAAAGAAAAAAAGACAUUUAGGGCACCAAAUUCUGGUGUUUCACCUGGAACAAGGAUUCUCAGACAAUCUAAAACAUGGACUUGAGCUAUAAAGGAGUCUGCCCUAUCAGCACUCAUCCUCUGUACUCAGAGGAUCAUCCUCUCCCCUUCCCCAGUGCGGUGUGGCUCUUCUCCAGUGGUGGCUAAACAUCUUUACUUCAGUCACAUUAGUUGCCUAUAUAAAAAUCGAUAUAACAGUACAAGGACAUUACUGGGAGCAUUGCUUUCAAAGCAGGCACUCAUUCCCUCCUUUUACCUGGAACAACCACUGCUGGAGCAAUACAACUUCUUUGUCUCUGGAUGGAGUAUGUUCAGUCUGUGGUGAGGAUGAUCACAUCAGCUUGGUCCCAGGCAGGAGCUGUGAGGGGACAGAGCACUCCGUGCCCUCACUCCCAUGAGGAUGACUGGCAUCUUCUCUGCUUGGCUCCAGCAGCCCUGAGAAACCUGCAUAUGCUCCUGAAAGGUGGGAUGUAUGGAGAUGCUAGCUGAUCCAAUAAA
ensembl:lncRNA